CAAGUCACUUGUUUUGUAUAGCUGUUUGGCUAGUCCUGUCCUCCUGGGCUCCUGACUUCUCGUCAUCACACUUGUAGUGCUAACUCUUUGAUAAUGAGCAAGCUCAAAUUAACGCCGCUAAACUAGACCUUAUAAGGCUUUGAAUAUUGCGUUACUGAAUGCGGUUAUGUUACUGAAGCCAGCGAUCUCAAAGAGUUGUUUAACAAGCUUUGUUGUAGUUAGCCUAGAGCUACCACUAAUAUAUUUUGUCAUGCUAUCAGGUUAGAGAUCCUUGCGACGAGCGUUCGCUGGAGCAGAGGUCGGCUGCUUCAAUCCGAAGUGGUUGAUGAAAUGCUUUUGCUCAUUAGCGAGUUAAUUCGGGAAUCCAACGAUCAGCAACAACAACCUGUUGCUCCUGGUUUCACCGUACCUCGAAUGGGAGGACAGACUGGAGGAAGGCCGGUUUACCAAAUCGCCCAAGAGCAGUUGCAGAUGUUGUUGUCCUUUAACUUCUCUGCUAAACAGAUUGCGGAGAUCUUGGGUGUCUCAAGAAGAACAGUGAACCGACGGUUACGACAGUACAAAUUUCUCUUUUAGAGGUCGCUACACGGAUCUAACAGAUGAUGCUCUUGAUCUGAAGGUGCUGCUAUUUGGAGUAUGUCCCACAGGCUUCGGCAGAGAACAUAUCGAGUGGCAGAGUCAAUUUCGCUGUGGCAUCUUGAUGGCAACCACAAGCUCAUAAAGUGGAGGAUUGUAAUCUAUGGAGGAAUCGAUGGGUUCAGCCGACUGGUGGUUUUCCUGAAGGCUUCUAACAACAACAGAAGUGACAUUGUAAUGGACCUGUUUUCUGAAGCAGUCGCCCAGUUUGGUGUCCCAUCCAGA